CCUACGGGAGGCUGCAGUGGGGGAUAUUGCACAAUGGAGGAAACUCUGAUGCAGCGACGCCGCGUGAGGGAAGACGGUCUUCGGAUUGUAAACCUCUGUCUUUAGGGACGAAAAAAUGACGGUACCUAAGGAGGAAGCCACGGCUAACUACGUGCCAGCAGCCGCGGUAAUACGUAGGUGGCAAGCGUUGUCCGGAAUUACUGGGUGUAAAGGGAGCGUAGGCGGGGAGACAAGUUGAAUGUUUAAACUAUCGGCUCAACUGAUAGUCGCGUUCAAAACUAUCACUCUUGAGUGCAGUAGAGGUAGGCGGAAUUCCUAGUGUAGCGGUGAAAUGCGUAGAUAUUAGGAGGAACACCAGUGGCGAAGGCGGCCUACUGGGCUGUAACUGACGCUGAGGCUCGAAAGCGUGGGUAGCAAACAGGAUUAGAUACCCUUGUAGUC
rnacentral:rRNA from 1 species